CAGUCGCCACGGUAAUACGGAGGGUGCAAGCGUUAUCCGGAUUCACUGGGUUUAAAGGGUGCGUAGGCGGAUUCUUAAGUCCGUGGUGAAAUCUCCAAGCUUAACUUGGAAACUGCCAUGGAUACUAUUAGUCUUGAAUGUUGUGGAGGUUAGCGGAAUAUGUCAUGUAGCGGUGAAAUGCAUAGAUAUGACAUAGAACACCAAUUGCGAAGGCAGCUGGCUACACAAAUAUUGACGCUGAGGCACGAAGGCGUGGGGAUCAAAUAGGAUUAGAGACCCCAGUAGUCCCUGUCUCUUAUAC
rnacentral:rRNA from 1 species